rnacentral:rRNA from 1 species
CCAGACUCCUACGGGAGGCAGCAGUGGGGAAUAUUGCACAAUGGGGGAAACCCUGAUGCAGCAACGCCGCGUGAGUGAAGAAGUAUUUCGGUAUGUAAAGCUCUAUCAGCAGGGAAGAAGAUGACGGUACCUGAUUAAGAAGCCCCGGCUAACUACGUGCCAGCAGCCGCGGUAAUACGUAGGGGGCAAGCGUUAUCCGGAUUUACUGGGUGUAAAGGGAGCGCAGACGGCAGUGCAAGUCUGGAGUGAAAGCCCGGGGCCCAACCCCGGAACUGCUCUGGAAACUGUGCGGCUAGAGUACUGGAGGGGCAGGCGGAAUUCCUAGUGUAGCGGUGAAAUGCGUAGAUAUUAGGAGGAACACCAGUGGCGAAGGCGGCCUGCUGGACAGUAACUGACGUUGAGGCUCGAAAGCGUGGGGAGCAAACAGGAUUAGAUACCCUAGUA